AUCCCUGAGUCAGGAAGAUCCUUUGGGGUGGGAAACGGCAACCCGCUCCAGUAUCCUUGCCUGGGAAGUUCCAUGGGCUGUGGGGCCUGGUGGGGUGACAGUUCAUGAGAUUGCAAAGAGUUGGAUGCAACUGAGAGAUGGAGCGCGCACGCGCACACACACACACACAUACUCUUUUCUCUGAGCUUGAAGCCUAAUUCACUUCAUUUCUUCCCCAGACCUGGGGGCACCACUGAGUGUCUGAAUGGGCAUUCUAACUCUGGUUGUUUUUGUCUUUUAGCUGCUGGGACAUCCCCAGUGCAGGUAAGAGAGACCCCGAGGUCAGAGCAGAAAGACUGGACACCUUGCCCCCUUCUUGUGUUCCAUCUGCCAGGAGCACCGAGGCCCAGGUGCCUCAGACAAUCCCCGUGCCCAAGUGCAUGUAUGCUCACGACCCAGCUGCAAGGGCUGGGAAGGGGCCCAGGAAGAUGCUGGAAUCAGCAAGAAGUGGGGGGAGCUUGGGAGGGGGCAGGCGUGGGAGGCUGAGAGGAAGUGGAGGUCGCAGAGGAAGCUGGGAGCGGGGCGUCCCGGGGAAGCAGCGAGCCACGUGUCCCUCCGUGGAAGAGGAAGCUGCGUCUCAUCUCCUAGGUGCGUCAGCCCCCGGGGAGCGACAUAAACUACGCAGACCUGAACCUGCCGCAGAUUGAAAAGCCCUCUGGCUCCUCCCGGAAGAAGGCCUCUGGGAGGGCCUCCUCCUCGCCCCAGGCCUACGCGGGGGACGGGGACUAUGCCAACACGGCUGACGUUUUCAGGGACAACAUCCCCUACACCCCUCUAACCCUGAAGACAUCUUCACUGCAGGCUGAGGUUUCCAGGGACAGCAUCACCUAUGCAGCUUUGUCUUUGGACACCUUGGAUGAACAGCCGACCUACAGCAACAUGGAGCACCUCAACGGCCCCCCUCCCAGCAGGAUCCUUGAGGAGGCCACGGAGUACAGCGUCAUCAGAAAGCCUUAGCUUCAGCCCCAGAGCCCCUCUCUGAGCCCCCUGGAGACCUCUGAGGACCUUCCUGUUCCAUUUGUCUGCUUUCUGCUCUCUCUGUCCCCUCAGGGGCCCAGCCACUGAUUGAGGUCUCUGACUGAUGCAGCUGGCAUCACGGCCAGCUCUGGUCUGAUGGCUUGGGGUCUGGUCUCAGGGAACUUCUGAGAGUCAGACAGAGGUCUUUCCACAUCCCGUUCUCUCCCACACAGCUUGAGACAGGGUUGGGGAUGCAAUCCGGAGCUGCUGAGGGAAUAAGCGGGAUGAUAAUGGUAAUAACAGUAAUUCAGUUCUAUUUAUUGCUUAUCAUGGGUGGUGGCUCAGAUGGUAAAGAAUCUGUCCGCAAUGCGGGAGGCUCUGGUUUGAUCCCUGGAUUGGAAAGAUCCUCUGGAGAAAGGAAUGGCAACCCACUUCAGUAUGUUUGCCUGGAGAGUCCCGUGGACAGGCUACAGUCCACAGGGUCACAAAGAGUUGGACACGACUGAGCGACUCACACUUUCACUUAAUCAUGAAUGGUGGGCUGAAUAAUGGUUCUUGAAGUUAUUCGCAUCCAAAGCCCCAGAACCUGGGAACAUUACCUUCUGGGGCAAAAGGGACUGUGUAGAUAUAAUGGAGUCAAGGAUUUGGGGAUGGGGAGACUAUUCUGGGUUAUCCAGCUGGGCCCUAAACAUAAGCUCAAGGGUCCUCAGAAGAGGGAGGUGAGAAGGUCACAGAGAAGAAGAGAGUGAUGGUGGUAGGAGCAGAGGUCAGGAUGAUAUGGGCAGGAUCCAGGGAACACCACAGCCUCCAGGAGCUGGAAAAGGCAGGAAUGGAGUCUUCCCUGGGGCCCCCAGAAGAGUCAGUCUGUCCGACACCUUGACUUUAGUCCAGUGAGACUGAUUUCCUACUUCUGGCCUCCACAAUUAUGGGAGAAUAAAUUAUUAUUUUCACAAA